rnacentral:sRNA from 1 species
UUUUUUUUUUUGGUUGGAAUUUUGUUUUUUGGCAGGAAAAAUAAAUUUGGCGGAAAAAUUUCAGUUUCCAAUUACAUGUUCCUAUUAAAUGAGGGUAAUUUGGUCAUUCUGUUUAAGGGAAAGAGUAUUUUUAAAAAUGGACAACACAAAAGGGUAUUGUUGCAAAAAGGUAGUAAAAAAGGGUAGUUUUGCAAAUCUCCAAUGACACUAUAGUUUUAAACCACAAUAGACUAAUUGCUUUAUUCAAUAUAAUUUAGACAUGAGUUCUAACUAAAAUUCAAUUUAAUAAGAUACAUAUAGUUUCCAUAUAAGUUAUCUUCUAUACUUUUAUGAUCGUCUUUACUAUUAUGAAAAU